UUUGUUUAAUAAUCGCCCGGGUAUAAAUAUGCACCAGUGGUCCGGGCAGCGGCAGGAGGGGCACCCUAAGGGGCUGCGGAUGCAGGCUCCGGAGGGCCGCGGAACAUCUCCCCUCCCCUCCCCUCUACCCUUUCCCUACCCCUUGGCGUCGGGCUCUUGCAGGUGCUGAGGACCCCGGCGCACAGAAUGGAGGCGCCUUUUGACUUCUAAGGGUCCUCCUCCCCCAUUUAAGGAGAAAACAUCCUUCCUGCCCUCCGCCUUCCCCGAAGUGACCUCACCACAUCCCUGUAAAACCCGGGGAACAGCCAUGGCGGACAGCCUGAGAAGAUUAGUUAACAACGAAAGCUGUCGGACCUUGCAGGACAAAUUGGAGAACUGGUACAAGGAUUACUAUAUGAAUUCAUGUGAUCAGAACUUGAAUUGUUGCUGUGAAAUAAUUGAAAUGAAUUCCAGAAUACAGGGGCAGCUCUUCACAAUCCUCAGUCUAACAGCACAAGAAGGUGGACAUUAUGCUGGUGUGGAAACAAUCAAAUCUCGACUUCUGCCCUGGCUAGGGACUUGUUUCUCCAAUUCUUCUAUAGCAAAACCCAUCGAAAACAAUAUAAACCUUUUGCAGGUAGAGUCACUUGAAAAGGACAGACAGCUGCGAGAACUUUCUGCUUCUCGGGAACGGGAGAUACAACAGUUAGAUUCGGAAUUGAAUUCAACUCGUGUUCAACUCAGCAUGGUUCAACAAGAACUCAAGUCUCUUCAAGCCCAGGAGGAGUCUCGCCAACGCAGCUUGGAUAUGUUAACUGACUAUGAACGACAACUUCGGACUCUGAAGGACGAGAUCGCUGUCCUGUCUGCAGAAAAAUCUGUUCUCCAGAGCAGACUUUCCAGGAGCCGGUCUCCUAGCCCUGUGUCCCAGCACAGUAGAUCUUGCAGUCCCAUGCAGAAAGAGCUGCAGAAAGAGCUGCAUAAAGAGCUGGUGCCCUCUUCACCUCUGGUCAGCAGGCUGAGCUCUGUCUCUCGAAAAGCUAAUCUCUUAGCCCGGUUCAGCGAUGCUUAUGCUCAAGGCCGCCUGGAGGCCCAGACCUUGCUCAAGAGGUUCAUUGACAAGAUGGAGACAGUGCAGAGGAUCAUCUAUAUUGCUACAGUGGAAUCUUUCCAUGUAGCUAAAAUGGCAUUCAGACACUUCAAAAUACGUGUGAGGAAGACUUUAUCGCCAACUCAUAUUGGGUCAGAAGAGCUUGAGGAUGCUGUCAUGGAUUAUGUAAUUUGCCAUCUUGAUUUAUAUGAUGUUCAAUGCAGUGUUAACGAUGUGAUUCGUGCCAUGAACGUGAACCCCAAGAUUUCUUUUCCACCUGAAGUUGACUUUAUCGUUAUCAACAGCUUCAUCAAGGAGAUAUGCUGUAUUGCAUUUGCAAUGCAGACUCUGGAUCCUCCUCUAGAUAUUGCAUUUGGUGCUGAUGGAGAGAUUUUUAAUGAUUGCAAGUAUCGCCGCAGCUGUGACUCUGAUUUCACAGCUCCCUUGGUCUUCUAUCAUGUGUGGCCUGCUCUGAUGGAGAAUGAAAUUGUCAUUAUGAAAGGAGAAGCCGUCACCAAGAGAGGGGCUUUUGUACGGUGUCAUUGUGGAAUCGAAAUUCAUCAAAUCUGUUUGCCUCACAGAUUCCUGACACUUUUUGUAUCCAGAGGAAUUAUGUUCCAUUGGUUCCACAAAGAAUUUCAUAAAAACAAUCAUUUGAAAAGUGGUCAUCUGUGAGAAAUGUCAACCGAAGUCGGAGUAGAAGUCUAAGCCCUGUCCAUCACCAUGGUUGCUCCGGUAAAAGCGGGGUAUCAAGAAGUCGGAGCCCUUCUCCACCAAGAAAUAUAAAUACAAUUUUCUCUUGCAGACCGAACAAGCCUAAUGCUUUUUCAACAUGACAACCAUUCAAAUACUUAAAGACCUUUUUUGACCAUCUCCACCUCAUUGGAAACUUGAAAUCCACCCCUGGGUCGCUGGCUCUGAUAGGUGAUGGGAGCCCAGCUCAGGCCUUUGGACCUCAGGAAAGAGAGAAGUACAAGUAUGAGCAGAUGGGUAGCCAGGUCCGGUCCCCUGAUAUUCACUUAGGAUGUUCUAGCAGGAGGGCCUUGGUUGAUCUCAACUGCUGUGAAAGUUCACUGGGAGAAAAAUCAUCUCCAUGGUAACCAGGGCCAAAGCUGAUUAGUGCUUUUUGGAUCAACAUCCACAGUGAUUGGAAGUAAAUGAGUUUAAAGCUUGUGAAGACCACAGGGUGGUUCCUCCCACAAGUAUUUGAGCCACAAGGGAUGAAGCCAACAAAUUCGGCUGCCAUCAGUGAAACUCAUCUUCCCCUAGGCCCCAAGGAUUGUACCUACACCCUCCACAGAAAGGUGAAGAAACUAAGGCUCGGAAGGACAAACUGAUUUUUGUGAAACAGUCGAUGGUUCUAGUGAGUGGCAAAUCAUGUUCUUGAACCCCCACCGACAAGUGCUUUUACCUCUUCGCCAAAACAUCUC